AUAAGUUACUUAAAGGCAUAAAGUGGAUGCCUCGACUCCAAACUCCGAUGAAGGACGUAACUAGCUGCGAUAAGCUUCGGUGAGCCGCUAAGUAGGCAUUGAACCGGAGAUUUCCGAAUGGGGAAACCCACAAGA
rnacentral:rRNA from 1 species